GGUUCAACACAUGGUGGUCUGCUGCACUCACAAGUGAAUUGUGGAGAUCCAUAUGGAUUGCCAGAAGAUACAGCUUCUUAUCUCCAAUUGAUAAAGAAUGAAGGAUAGAGACUUAUUUAAACAAUACUGAUGGACCUCUGCUUUUAUCGUAUCAGAAGAAAUGAAGAAAAAAGCUUCUGCUGAAAAGUUGCUGCAGAACCAGAGGGUGCUUUGGUGAUAGAACACAGCAGCUGCUCCCAGCCAGCUAGGGAAGAGAGAGAGCCUUCUUCGCAGUGCCUGUCA